AUUGAACGCUGGCGGCAGGCUUAACACAUGCAAGUCGAGCGAGCGGCGGACGGGUGAGCAAUGUCUGGGAAACUGCCUGAUGGAGGGGGCUAACUACUGGAAACGGUAGCUAAUACCGCAUACCAUCAGAUGUGCCCAGAUGGGAUAAGUUAGUAGGGGGGUUACUGGCUCACCUAGGCGACGAUCCCUAGCUGGUCUGAGAGGAUGACCAGCCAGACUGGGACUGAGACACGGUCCAGACUCCUACGAGAGGCAGCAGUGGGGAAUAUUGCACAAUGGGCGCAAUCCUGAUGCAGCCAUGCCGCGUGUGUGAAGAAGGCCUUCGGGUUGUAAAGCUCUUUCAGCGAGGAGGCGUUACUCGCAGAAGAAGCACCGGCUAACUCCGUGCCAGCAGCCGCGGUAAUUC
rnacentral:rRNA from 1 species